rnacentral:lncRNA from 1 species
UACAAGGGACGACAACAAAAAAAUCCUAACAACCCCUAAGUCGUCGCGCCCCUAAUCUCCACCAGCCACACCGCCAGCCUCCUCCCUUAUCAGCCACGCCACCAGCCUUCUCCCUCACGCCAGUUCCUCCCAUCAUUCUGCUCUCUCCCUCUCCACGAACCAGACGACCACCAACAACACCAUAGCCAUUGCUACUUCUGUUUCUUCCCCAUAAACAACUAAUAAAUCACCUGAAAACAGUCACCAAAUCACCGCCAAAACACUUCUCUGGACCUCUCAUGCAAGCGAGCGAAAGGCUCUCAAAGCAGCAAAGUUUAAGUCAAAGUUUUCGGGUUAUCGAGAUCCAUUCGCGAAUCUAGUUUGCUGCCCCUUCUUUGUUUCUUCAGUCGAUUUUUUUUUGGUGCCGUUCGAGUUUGCAACUAGCUCGCGGUUCUGUUCGUUUACUGUCGCAAUUUCUUCAUUUGGAGUUUACCAUCAAAAGUUGUAAUUGCCGGUUAUCCC